GGGAGGACCACCUCCCAAGGCUAAAUACUACCUGAUGACCGAUAGUGAAGCAGUACCGUGAGGGAAAGGUGAAAAGAACCCCGGGAGGGGAGUGAAAUAGAACCUGAAACCGUGUGCCUACAACCGCUCAGAGCCCCUUAUGAGGGUGAUGAGGUGCUUUUUGUAGAACGAGCCAACGAGUUACGGUAUGUAGCAAGGUUAAGUACUUAAGGUACGGAGCCGAAGGGAAACCGAGUCUGAAUAGGGCGACUAGUUGCAUGCCGUAGACCCGAAACCGGGUGACCUAUCCAUGGCCAGGUUGAAGCGAGGGUAAAACCUCGUGGAGGACCGAACCACGUUGCUGUUGAAAAAGCAUGGGAUGAGCUGUGGAUAGCGGAGAAAUUCCAAUCGAACCCGGAGAUAGCUGGUUCUCUCCGAAAUAGCUUUAGGGCUAGCGUCGAGUAUGAGUAGUGGAGGUAGAGCACUGAAUGGGCUAGGGGGCAUAGCGCUUACCGAACCUUAUCAAACUCCGAAUGCCACAUACUUUGAGCUCGGCAGUCAGACUACGAAUGAUAAGAUCCGUGGUCAAAAGGGAAACAGCCCAGAUCGUCAGCUAAGGUCCCAAAGUGUAAGUUAAGUGGGAAAGGAUGUGAGAUUUCUAAGACAACUAGGAUGUUGGCUUAGAAGCAGCCAUUCAUUAAAAGAGUGCGUAAUAGCUCACUAGUCGAGAGAUCUUGCGCCGAAAAUGUAACGGGGCUAAACUUACCACCGAAGCUACGGGCUUGAAC
rnacentral:rRNA from 1 species